CAACCAUCUGCUGUGGCGGGAUUCAAACCUUGGUCCCCAGAACAUUAUCUGGGUCUCUGGAUUAACAGUCCAUGGGCAUUUUUCUCAUCCUCCCUGCAGUUCCUGCUCUCAUCUAUGCAAGCUGUAAGAAUCCUUUAAUGUGUUGUACAAUUGCAAGACAUGAGGUUUCACCAGCUCUACUUUCAGGAUUGCCAUAGCUGCCUCUCCUACAGCCACAGUCCAUGGUCAGGAACAGGUGCGUAAGCAUGAACUAUCUGCUGUAAGAGAUGAAACUGGCUCCUGCAACCAAGUAACCCUCCUUGAUGCUUCAAAAUGCCUGAAACUCAAGCUCUAGAUCAGCAAUUCACAGCCAAAGGUCCUUCAGCUUCAGCCGUUUAACUGCAGAUGUGGUUGCCAUGAAUUUUGUGUCCACAGUGUGCUUGGAAUACAGCUGUGAUACAUUACCUGCUGUGCCACCUUCAUUUUCCUUCAUGUAACUAAUUAGGUUUCAAAUAUGUAAUGUCACUUAAUGGUUGAUCAAUCUAAUCUUAAUGUUAUUUUUCUCUCUCCAGAUGUUCAGAAAACUGCAUAACUCCUACACAGAUGUCAUGUGCAAUCCAUUCUACAAUCCCGGGGAACUGAUUCAGUCCAAAGUUUUUGAUAAUAUGGUUUCGGGUAUGAUGGUUCAGGUCUGCUGAGGCCUGGCUGUGGAGUUCCUGCUCUCCCGUGAUCCUGUGGCUGUGUUCUGUCCUCAUUACAUUUCCAGUACAGCUUUCAGUGACACAAUAUGGUCCUGAAUAAAAUGAAACAUCACCCAAGCUGCUAUUGGAUUCAGUUUUAAUUUAUGAGUUAAAGGUUUAAUCAAGCCUAGAGUGUUUAUUACAAGAAAUGUAUAACAUUUGCAUCAAUCCAACAUGUUAUAUAAUCAUACUAGGAUCUGUGAGCAAAGUAAGUUUUAGUUUUUGUAAAUGUUGAAAUUCCCCUAAGCUCCAUAUGUCUUAACAGACUCUUUUUGAUGGUUUGAUUUCCUGGCAUGGUGAAUGGGGUGUUGGGUGGCAUGAGGAGUGUCUAAGCAGAAGGUACUCUUAUCAAGGUGAAGCAUGAAAUUUGAGAAAGGGUGAAUCGACGACAGCAGACACUGUUUUACCUUGCAUUAUAAAAGAUUCACGUAUCCUGCCUGCAGAUCUAAGGCUGUGAGGAAUUGGAGGUUGAUGUCCUUUUGUAAAAAGAAGCAGAACUGUAGAUAUGAUUUCACUUAUACUGAGGUGUUAUUUGAUUAACUGAAUCCCUUACUGAUUCUUCCAGUUCUACCACUCACUAAUUUGGGGGUAGGGUGGUGUCCUAAUUGAACCUAAGCAUUUCUUCUUCAGUAUGAGAAUUGGAAUGUUGAGGGUUUGAUAUCUUUUGUAGUAGUUUGUUAAAGAUGUGGUGGUCUGUCAAUUGUAUGUACACUUCAUUGGUGUAUCUAUUCUGAAUUAUAAAUACAGUUUGAACCUCACCUUA